rnacentral:rRNA from 1 species
UACGGAGGGUGCAAGCGUUACUCGGAAUUACUGGGCGUAAAGCGCGCGUAGGCGGCUGGAUAAGUCGAUUGUGAAAGCCCCGGGCUCAACCUGGGAAUUGCAGUCGAGACUGUUCGGCUAGAGUGUGGGAGAGGGUGGUGGAAUUCCCGGUGUAGCGGUGAAAUGCGUAGAUAUCGGGAGGAACAUCAGAGGAGAAGGCGACCACCUAGAUCUACACUGACGCUGAGGUGCGAAAGCGUGGGUAGCAAACAGG